CCAAACCCACCGGGAAGUUGUAAGAGUUUAGAAACCUAAACAUUUUCACGCAAACCCCUCUUCAAAUCUUUCGCUCUAGAAUUAUCAUCGGUCUCCUUGUCGGAGUGACCCACCACCGUUCCGCCGCCGCGAGCUGGUCACCCACGAUCCAUAAAGAAACAAAGUUACGAGCCACGGUCACUUAAAGAAACAGAAGCGGAGCAACCAGCAGGUUUUGAAGCCGUCGUCGGCUCGUGGCCCUCGCUUCUCCGCCACCGCACCACUGGUCGACUCGCCGCUGCUCGCCGACUCGUCGUUCCUCACCGACUCGUCGUUCCUCGCCGACUCGCCGUUGCAGGAACCUCAAGAAGAAUCUGGAACUCUUGAUUCAAUUGGUGCUUCACUUGGACGACUACGGAAAAAGGAUCCUAGCUUGACUGCAGAAAUGAUUGCAGCACUUUGGUGUCUACACUUUCUACAGACCACUCUCUUUAUGGGUCAUGGUUACAUAUAGACAGGUAUAUGAGUGGUUGUUUUACUACACUUCAACCCAAAUUGUUUCACUGAAGGCCUUCGUGGAGGAUGGUAAUAGAAGGAGAAUGGUAGAUAAAAGGAUGGCAGGAAGGGCAUAGAUUGAAGUUCUUUUGGAUUGAUUUUGAACAAAUAAAUUAAAUACUAGAUAGGUUUUAGAUGGCUUGAACUAUUAGUUCUUUUUAGAGAUUCAUUGGUUUUCUUAAUUGAUGUAUUUAUAUUAUAACAACGAUUUUUGUUAUUAGAAUGAUUGAUAUGGAUAUUUUAUUUUAAUCAUAAGUAAAAAUUAAUUUGAAAUAAA